UUCAACCUUGAUUAAUAAACAGUCUAUUCAUUAUUUUACGAGCAUAAAUUUCAAAGUAAACUGAGCGUUUGAAAGUAAAAAUUUUGAUUCUCUAAUUAUAAAAAUCGAAAUACAUGAAUUUAUAAUUUUUUUAUUAAAAUAAUAAUUAAUAUCACAAAUGGGUGAUAAAACUUCUAAUUUAUUAAGAUGGUGACGUCAUUUAUUUCGUAUACGUCUAAUAUAUAUCAGAGAAUUAUAAUUAAACAUGAAUUUACCAGUUGGUAAAUAAUAGUUGAAACGAUAAAAUCCAGAUAAUAUACAUAUAUAUUUACAUGUAUGAGACAUAAUUCAAUUUAGUGUCGUUCAUACCUGCGAGGUUUAAAAUUUUCAAUAUAUAAUAAUAAUCGAAUCUUUUGUUAACGCACUAUGAUAAACUGUACUAAAAUAACUAUUUUUAUAACAGGAUUAUUUUUUAUAUCCUCUUUGGCCAUAGAAUUUUCAUAUUUGGAUCCUCCUGAAGAUAGAUUCAUUUAUGUAUGUUCACCGAAUUCUGCCACGUUAUACUUUCUACCAAAUUCAUCAUAUGCAGCAUCAAUAGUUGUCGAUCCAACAAAAUUUGAGUGUAGAAAAUUUUUCAAAAUUAACCGACCCCCGCCAUCCUUCGAAAUUAAAUUUUCUACCUGUACAUCUGGACUUAGACUAUUCGACGUAAUAUUAGCUGAUCAUGGAGUUUGGGAGAGGGAUAAUACAUAUUAUAAAAAAAAAGUUGAUUGUCGAUUUUUUAGUAGGAAUAAGAUCAACAACAUCAAUCUUUAGAAAAUUUUAAUUGUAUCAAAUGGGUAAUUAGCGUUAUUUUAAAAAAAAUGACAAUAAUCAACAUUUAAAAUUACAAUUGUUAUUAUGAUAUUGCUAAUUUAUCAUUGUAAAGUAGAGGAUGUGCAAACAUUUAAAUUUAGCGAAUUAUUUGCUCACUUUUGAGCUCAGCAAACUUUUGUAAAUGAAUUUGAAAGCUGGCCCAAAUUUUAGAAUUCUGAAUCGAAUAUAACUAUUUGAAUUAAAUAAUUUAAAUUUUUGAAUAGUUCAAAACUUUCCGAAUAACUCAAAACUUUUUAAAUUAUUCGUCAAUUUUCAAAUUAUCCGAAAGUUUACGUAUUAUUUGUAAACUUUCAAUUGCUUGAUUCUAAUCGAGAAAAUUAUAAUCGCCUUUCAAAUAUUCAAUCUCUAUUUAAUGGUGAGCUUACAUUUUAAAGUAACCAAAAAUAAUUUUUCUACAGAUUCGUGUCUAAGCUCUAUUUAUCUCUGACAAAAAUUUGAAUUAUUGGAGAAAAUGUUAAAAUUUCAAGUUUAAAAGAAAAUUUUGAAAUUGAUCGUAAAUUUUUUAAUGAUUCGAAGAGUUUCGAGCUAUUUAAAAAUUGACGAAUAAUUCAAAAAUUUAUGAAUAAUUCGAAUGUUUCGAUUCAAAGUUCGAUUUGAUACGAAUAGUUCGUAGGUUCAAAUUAUUCGCACAUCCCUAUAGUAAAUAUAUAUAAAUAAAAAUUUUUAUAAAUAUA